rnacentral:rRNA from 1 species
GAUGAACGCUAGCUACAGGCUUAACACAUGCAAGUCGAGGGGAAACGACAUCGAAAGCUUGCUUUUGAUGGGCGUCGACCGGCGCACGGGUGAGUAACGCGUAUCCAACCUGCCCAUCACUUGGGAAUAACCUUGCGAAAGUAAGACUAAUACCCAAUGAUAUCCCACGAAGGCAUCGGAAUGGGGUUAAAGAUUUAUCGGUGAUGGAUGGGGAUGCGUCUGAUUAGCUUGUUGGCGGGGUAACGGCCCACCAAGGCAACGAUCAGUAGGGGUUCUGAGAGGAAGGUCCCCCACAUUGGAACUGAGACACGGUCCAAACUCCUACGGGAGGCAGCAGUGAGGAAUAUUGGUCAAUGGGCGAGAGCCUGAACCAGCCAAGUAGCGUGCAGGAAGACGGCCCUAUGGGUUGUAAACUGCUUUUAUAAGGGAAUAAAGUGGGUCACGUGUGACCUUUUGCAUGUACCUUAUGAAUAAGGACCGGCUAAUUCCGUG